GGUUUAGUCAUAUACUUUUCUGGUGCAUAGCCAAGUACAGACCUAUACUCACAGUAUAAACUUGAAAAUAAAAAUAUAAUUUUAUAUAAAUAAUUUAGUUAACAUUUGUGAUUUUUGUUUUGUGAUUUUUAAUAUUUGUGAAUUUUACAUAAGUUUUUAAAAAAUGGCCGCAGGAUUAGAUCCAACCGAACUUUACUAAGUUAAAGAACCAAAAAUUCCUUGUGGAGAAUUCGAUUUUUAUUAAGUAACAAAAUUAAAAAUGUCUGGAACUUUAGACCCAACUGGGCUAUACUAAUUGAAGCAUCCAAAAAUUACUUGUGAAAAAUGGGUAAAGGAUUAGAUCCAACUGGAUUAUAUUAAUUAAAACAUUUAAAAAUUACUUGUUAAAAAUGGUCAAAGGAUUGGAUCCAACUGGACUGUAUUAAGUCAAACCAUACAUUGUUGUUGAAAAAAAUAAAAAAAAAAAAUGAUGAGGCAUUCUUUUAUCUUGUCACUGGCUGGCAACUGUUGCACUUAUUAUCAUAGUUUUAAUUCUUUGCACAAAAGAAUAAGUGCACUAUUAAAUAUUUGAUGUUAAAAAAAAAAAAAAAAAAA